rnacentral:rRNA from 1 species
UGAGGAACAUGACUUUCGGCGGGGGAUAGCCGGCCCAACGGCCGGGUAAUACCGCGUACGACCUUUUGGGGACAUCCCCGAUUGGUGAAAGCAGCAAUGCGCCGAAAGAGUGCCUCGCGGCCUAUCAGCUAGUUGGUGGGGUAAUGGCUCACCAAGGCGACGACGGGUAGCUGGUCUGAGAGGAUGGCCAGCCACAUUGGGACUGAGACACGGCCCAGACUCCUACGGGGAGGCAG